AUUGAACGCUGGCGGCAUGCUUUACACAUGCAAGUCGAACGGUAACAGGCCUUCGGGUGGCUGACGAGUGGCGAACGGGUGAGUAAUGCAUCGGAACGUGCCCAAUCGUGGGGGAUAACCGUAGCGAAAGUUACGGCUAAUACCGCAUAAGCCCUGAGGGGGAAAUGGGGACCGCAAGGGCCUCGACGCGAAUGGAGCGGCCGAUGUCAGAUUAGCUAGUUGGUGGGGUAAAGGCCCACCAAGGACGACGAUCUGUAGCGGGUCUGAGAGGAUGAUCCGCCACACUGGGACUGAGACACGGCCCAGACUCCUACGGGAGGCAGCAGUGGGGAAUUUUGGACAAUGGGCGCUAAGCCUGAUCCAAGCCAUGCCGCGUGCGGGACGAAGGCC
rnacentral:rRNA from 1 species